CAGGAUAUAAGCAGAGAGAAACAAGAACUUACUCUCUUGUCUGCUGAGAUGCCUAGGAGAUUUUGUUGGAGUAUAUAAGCUCUAGAGAAAAAAAUAAAGAUUGGAGAAUACAGAAGAAGAAUAAAGAAGGAGACCAUCAAGAGAGUGUGCCACUGAUACCAACUGUGCAUGGCCCUGUGCCCAUUGGACACCACUAUCUUUGAGCCUGUCUGUCAUCUCAACUAGAAAUCAGCUAUUUAUUGUAACAGCCUCAGUGAGGUACAAUUGAGCAUCUGAUGUUAAACACCAGUAACCAGCAUGAGUAUUUUCAAGAUCAGGAUGAACCUGGACUGAGAGAACAAAGAUGACUAAGGUCGGCAUAGCAUGAAGCUCAUUGCAUAAGUUGCUUUUAUCAUCAGUCACUGACAAAAUGCUCAAUAAGAAUAUUCAAGAUUAAUUCUCUGUCGUCUUGUGCUGUGUGUGGUCUGGCUGGCAGACAGCCUUUUCUACCCCAUCACUCAAGGUCUCUGGCUCAUCACUGUGAAGAUCCAUGUCCUGUUGGUGCAGAAGGUUUUUUGUACUUUACACUGGCGGCUGAGUUUGCCACACAGUUUCUGCGGCCUGUUCUUGGAAAAGCC
rnacentral:lncRNA from 1 species